AUGAGAUACAAUCAUUUGCUAGAGAACUUGAGCACUUCAGUUUGUAUGCUACCAGACAAGUUUGUUGCCGGAGGUAUCAUCACUAAGCUUCCUCCUUUGUGGAGGAACUUUGCUACCUUAUUGAAGCAUAAGAGACAGGAGUUUUCUGUCCCGGAUCUCAUUGGCACUCUUGAUGUGGAAGAAAAGGCGAGAGCAAAGGACACACGUGCUCGAGGUAUUGAGGGAGGAUCUAGUGCCAAUCUGGUACAGAAGAAGAACUUCCAGCCCCACAAGUUCAAGAACAAGGGCAAGUUUGAUGGUAAAGCAAAGUUUGAUGGGAAGAACAAGGCUGUGCAACACACGAACUUCAAGAAGAAGAAUGACAAGAAGAAAGGUGUUUGUCAUGUGUGUGGGGAUCCUGAUCAUUGGGCUCCUAGUUGUCCUAAUCGCUAUGACAAGCGUCAUCCUGGGAAAGGCGGCAAGACCGCUAAUGUUGUCAUUGGAGACAUUGACAUGAAGGAUGCUGGGUAUGACCGCAGGGACUUCAACCGUGCUGAUGGGCAACGGUUCAAGUCCUUCUGUUCGUGGUGUUGGCACGGCUAUGAGUCAGGAGGCCUGUUUCGUUUAUCCUUGUCAGACAUUUGCAAUAAAGUUGUUAAUCAUGUUUGCAACAAUAGUGAAUCAAAUGUGUGGCGUUCACAUCUUUGUCAUGUUAACUUUGGUUGCAUGUCACGACUAGCGAAGUUGAACUUAAUCCCUAGUUUCCCCACUGUCGAGGGAUCUAAGUGUCAAGUUUGUGUGCAAGCUAAGCAACCCCGUAAGUCUCAUGUGACUGCGGAAACGAGAAAUCUUGCACCACUAGAACUCAUACAUUCAGAUCUAUGUGAAAUGAAUGGUGUUUUGACAAAAGGUGGAAAGAAAUAUUUCAUGACGUUAAUUGACGACUCAAAAAAGAUACUGCCGUGUGUAUCUUCUAAAAUCUAA
rnacentral:rRNA from 1 species